rnacentral:tRNA from 1 species
GGGAAUGUGGCUUAGUGGUAGAGUGUUUGCCUAGUAUGCAUGAAGCCCUGGGUUCAAUUCCUCAGUACCA